rnacentral:rRNA from 1 species
AGUGAACGCUGGCGGCAGGCCUAAUACAUGCAAGUCGAACGGCAGCACAGUGGAGCUUGCUCCAUGGGUGGCGAGUGGCGGACGGGUGAGGAAUACAUGGGAAUCUGCCCAGUCGUGGGGGAUAACGUAGGGAAACUUACGCUAAUACCGCAUGCGCCCUUCGGGGGAAAGCCGGGGACCGUAAGGCCUGGCGCGAUUGGAUGAGCCCAUGUCGGAUUAGCUAGUUGGCGGGGUAACGGCCCACCAAGGCGACGAUCCGUAGCUGGUCUGAGAGGAUGAUCAGCCACACUGGAACUGAGACACGGCCCAGACUCCUACGGGAGGCAGCAGUAGGGAAUAUUGGACAAUGGGCGCAAGCCUGAUCCAGCCAUGCCGCGUGAGUGAAGAAGGCCCUCGGGUUGUAAAGCUCUUUUGUCCGGAAAGAAAGCACUGGGUUAAUACCCCGGUGUCCUGACGGUACCGGAAGAAUAAGCACCGGCUAACUUCGUGCCAGCAGCCGAC